rnacentral:rRNA from 1 species
GAUGAACGCUGGCGGCGUGCCUAAUACAUGCAAGUCGAGCGAACGGACGAGAAGCUUGCUUCUCUGAUGUUAGCGGCGGACGGGUGAGUAACACGUGGAUAACCUACCUAUAAGACUGGGAUAACUUCGGGAAACCGGAGCUAAUACCGGAUGAUAUUUUAAACCGCAUGGUUCAAAAGUGAAAGACGGUCUUGCUGUCACUUAUAGAUGGAUCCGCGCUGCAUUAGCUAGUUGGUAAGGUAACGGCUUACCAAGGCAACGAUGCAUAGCCGACCUGAGAGGGUGAUCGGCCACACUGGAACUGAGACACAGUCCAGACUCCUACGGGAGGCAGCAGUAGGGAAUCUUCCGCAAUGGGAGAAAGCCUGACGGAGCAACGCCGCGUGAGUGAUGAAGGUCUUCGGAUCGUAAAACUCUGUUAUUAGGGAAGAACAUAUGUGUAAGUAACUGUGCACAUCUUGACGGUACCUAAUCAGAAAGCCGCGGCUAACUACGUG